UGGGAUAGCUUAGUUGGUAGAGCAUGAAAUUUUUAAUCUCAGGGUCAUGGGCUAUAGCCCCACAUUGGGCAAAA